rnacentral:rRNA from 1 species
AUUGAACGCUGGCGGCAUGCUUUACACAUGCAAGUCGAACGGUAACAGGGUGCUUGCACCGCUGACGAGUGGCGAACGGGUGAGUAAUGCGUCGGAACGUGCCGAGUAGUGGGGGAUAACGCAGCGAAAGUUGUGCUAAUACCGCAUACGUACUGAGGUAGAAAGUGGGGGACCUUCGGGCCUCACGCUAUUCGAGCGGCCGACGUCUGAUUAGCUAGUAGGUGAGGUAAAGGCUCACCUAGGCGACGAUCAGUAGCGGGUCUGAGAGGAUGGUCCGCCACACGGGGACUGGGACACGGCCCAGACUCCUACGGGAGGCAGCAGUGGGGAAUUUUGGACAAUGGGCGAAAGCCUGAGCCAGCCAUGCCGCGUGUCUGAAGAAGGCCUUCGGGUUGUAAAGGACUUUUGUCAGGGAGGAAAUCCCUAGCGUUAAUACCGCUGGGGGAUGACAGUACCUGAAGAAUAAGCACCGGCUAACUACGUGCCAGCCGCCGCAGUAAGAC